rnacentral:rRNA from 1 species
GACGUAGGAGGCGAGCGUUGUCCGGAUUCAUUGGGCGUAAAGAGCGCGCAGGCGGCUUGGUAAGUCGGAUGUGAAAUCCCGAGGCUCAACCUCGGGUCUGCAUCCGAUACUGCCCGGCUAGAGGUAGGUAGGGGAGAUCGGAAUUCCUGGUGUAGCGGUGAAAUGCGCAGAUAUCAGGAGGAACACCGGUGGCGAAGGCGGCAUCCUGGACCGGUAUUGACGCUGAGGCGCGAAAGCUAGGGUAGCAAACGGG